GACGAACGCUGGCGGCGUGCUUAACACAUGCAAGUCGAACGGAAAGGCCCUGCUUUUGUGGGGUGCUCGAGUGGCGAACGGGUGAGUAACACGUGAGUAACCUGCCCUUGACUUUGGGAUAACUUCAGGAAACUGGGGCUAAUACCGGAUAGGAGCUCCUGCUGCAUGGUGGGGGUUGGAAAGUUUCGGCGGUUGGGGAUGGACUCGCGGCUUAUCAGCUUGUUGGUGGGGUAGUGGCUUACCAAGGCUUUGACGGGUAGCCGGCCUGAGAGGGUGACCGGCCACAUUGGGACUGGGGUACGGCCCAGACUCCUACGGGAGGCAGCAGUGGGGAAUAUUGCACAAUGGGCGGAAGCCUGAUGCAGCAACGCCGCGUGCGGGAUGACGGCCUUCGGUUUGUAAACCGCUUUCGCCUGUGACGAAGCGUGAGUGACGGUAAUGGGUAAAGAAGCACCGGCUAACUACGUG
rnacentral:rRNA from 1 species